rnacentral:rRNA from 1 species
CCUACGGGUGGCAGCAGUGGGGGAUAUUGGACAAUGGGGGGAACCCUGAUCCAGCGACGCCGCGUGAGUGAAGAAGUAUCUCGGUAUGUAAAGCUCUAUCAGCAGGGAAGAAGAAAUGACGGUACCUGAGUAAGAAGCCCCGGCUAACUACGUGCCAGCAGCCGCGGUAAUACGUAGGGGGCAAGCGUUAUCCGGAAUUACUGGGUGUAAAGGGAGCGUAGACGGUGAUGUAAGUCUGGAGUGAAAUCCCAUGGCUUAACCAUGGAACUGCUUUGGAAACUGUGCAGCUAGAGUGCAGGAGAGGUAAGCGGAAUUCCUAGUGUAGCGGUGAAAUGCGUAGAUAUUAGGAGGAACACCAGUGGCGAAGGCGGCUUACUGGACUGUAACUGACGUUGAGGCUCGAAAGCGUGGGGAGCAAACAGGAUUAGAUACCCGAGUAGUC